rnacentral:rRNA from 1 species
UACGGAGGGUGCAAGCGUUAAUCGGAAUACUGGGCGUAAAGCGCACGUAGGUGGUUCGCUAAGUCAGCUGUGAAAUCCCCGGGCUCAACCUGGGAAUUGCAGUGGAUACUGGGAAGCUAGAGUGCGGUAGAGGGUAGUGGAAUUCCCGGUGUAGCGGUGAAAUGCUUAGAUAUCGUCAAGAACACCGAUAGCGAAGGCAGCUUACUAGACUGUAACUGACGCUGAUGCACGAAAGUGUGGGGAUCAAAACAGG